CCUUCGGGGGGCCACCAUUGGGGAUUUUUGUCCAAGGGGGGAANUUUGGACGGAGCCCCCGGCGGGGGGAAAGAAGGUUUUGGGUUGGAAAACUUCUUUUUGAGGGGAGGAAACACUGGCGAGUAAAUGCCGGGGCCCUGACGGUACCUCACCAGAAAGCCCCGGCUAANUUCGUGCCAGCAGCCGCGGUAAUACGUAGGGGGCAAGCGUUGUCUGGAAUUAUUGGGCGUAAAGGGCUCGCAGGCGGUCUUUUAAGUCUGAUGUGAAAGCCCCCGGCUCAACCGUGGAGGGUCAUUGGAAACUGGGGGGCUUGAGUGUAGGAGAGGAAAGUGGAAUUCCACGUGUAGCGGUGAAAUGCGUAGAGAUGUGGAGGAACACCCGUGGCGAAGGCGGCUUUCUGGUCUGCAACUGACGCUGAGGAGCGAAAGCGUGGGGAGCGAACAGGAUUAGAUACCCUGGUAGUCCCCGCCGUAAACGAUGAGUGCUANGUGUUAGGGGGUUCNCCUUUAGUGCUGCAGCUAACGCANUAAGCA
rnacentral:rRNA from 1 species